GUAGCGCGGAGGAGCCUCAAGCCUUUAUAGUAAGGGUUAUUUAGGGGGUUAUUUAGGAUAUGUUUUAUGUGAGGUGUGCUUCGGGCUUGGACUAUUGAGUGGAAUUCGCUGUUCCGCUUCUUAUGAAAAACGAUUCUGAUUCCGACUAUUGUAGAUGCACGGCACUGGAUCGUACCCUGAGUAGAAGAAUGAAAAUAGGCAAUGUCAGCUUGGAAUCAAUAUAUAUCUAAGGUAAUGUAGCUCCUCCGCGCGGGUGUUUGUAUUUCCAUCAAUAUCUCCUAGUUACAUCAAUGAGUCUGUGUCUAGUGUUGCUUCGGUAGGUUCACUCACUCCUUUUGUAGGUUAACGAAUUCUGCGAGCGAGCAAUCAUUCACCAUAUCUGGGAGCGUGAUCAAAGGUUUGUUUCCCCACUAACAAGAAAGGAACCACUAGCAAACAGCCUAUAUGAACUACUCAAACACAACUGUCAAGAGAAAAACCAAGAAAUUGUGAAAUAGCUCUGUACUUGCUAUUACUGCUUAUGUCUUAUGGGACUACCUCGCAUUACUGUCUCUUAGCCUCACAUUACUGCCUUGAAGUCUCUUACUUGCUUCUUUCGCUCUUACGUCCAUUGCCCUUAAGCUGUGUCUCUGUUUUCAUUCCUGUCUUUACUGGAAUUAUAUGAGAAUUCAUGUUCUUUUUAGAAGUUCACUUAAUCAUACUUUAGGGUUCAAUAAAGAGUGGAAGGCGGUAGGGAUAUACUGAGUGACAUUACAAUAAAGGCAGAGCUGAGUCCCCAGGGCAAAAUCCAUAACUAAAGAAUUAGUUCCGGACGAGUAACUACUAGACGCCAAGCGCCCUAACAGUCAUAUACAAGAAUUCUGGCUGGGAUAGUUAGAACGAUAUCCGAGUAGCCGAGCUGGGUCCCAUGGGCGCUGUUCUGUUUGGUUUGGGCAGUGCAGUAAGCGAGAUGUGAGAUCAGUGGCUGUAGUCUUAUAAUGCACUAGCGCGGAUCCCUAGCAUGGUAUCCUAACACUCAUGAGGUAAAUCCUAUCCUGUCCGGGCCCCAUAUAAACCAAACAUUCUUUGACUGCUUGUUUGAAGUCUCCCACUGCUCUAUCUCAUUCUCCUUACCUUUACUUUUGUUCUUUAAACUUACAUUGGAUCCUUACUUCCUCGACAACACCCCUAUUGAUUGAAGCCAUGGUACACAACAUAUACCCUAUUGUAGGAUCGCUUUCGUAGUAGGAUCGCUUUCGCCCCAUUUGCAUCUAAGAAUUCUGUUUACUUAACAUCGGCAUCAGAGCUCCUUCGUGAAUAAGAAAAACGGAAAG
rnacentral:lncRNA from 1 species